AGUGAACGCUGGCGGUAGGCCUAACACAUGCAAGUCGAACGGCAGCACAGUAAGAGCUUGCUCUUACGGGUGGCGAGUGGCGGACGGGUGAGGAAUACAUCGGAAUCUACUUUUUCGUGGGGGAUAACGUAGGGAAACUUACGCUAAUACCGCAUACGUCCUACGGGUGAAAGCAGGGGAUCUUCGGACCUUGCGCGAUUGAAUGAGCCGAUGUCGGAUUAGCUAGUUGGCGGGGUAAAGGCCCACCAAGGCGACGAUCCGUAGCUGGUCUGAGAGGAUGAUCAGCCACACUGGAACUGAGACACGGUCCAGACUCCUACGGGAGGCAGCAGUGGGGACUAUUGGGCAAUGGGCGAAAGCCUGAUCCAGCCAUACCGCGUGAGUGAAGAAGGCCUUCGGGUUGUAAAGCCCUGUUGUUGGGAAAGAAAAGCAGCAGGUUAAUCCCCCGCUGUUCCGACGGUACCCAAAGAAUAAGCACCGGCUAACUUCGUG
rnacentral:rRNA from 1 species